rnacentral:rRNA from 1 species
UACGGAGGGUGCAAGCGUUAUCCGGAAUCACUGGGUUUAAAGGGUGCGUAGGCGGUGGCGUAAGUCAGUUGUGAAAUUCCCCGGCUUAACCGGUGGGACUGCGAUUGAUACUGCGUCACUUGAAUCAGGAUGAGGUAGGCGGAAUGUGGCAUGUAGCGGUGAAAUGCUUAGAUAUGCCAUAGAACACCGAUUGCGAAGGCAGCUUGCUGGACCUGUAUUGACGCUGAGGCACGAAAGCGUGGGGAGCAAA